rnacentral:lncRNA from 1 species
GCAAUCCUUGGUCUCUCAGGCAGUCUUCAAUUUGAGCCUCCCGGAGGCUUUGCCUUUGCGGCUGCGCAGCCCCCAGCAGUUACAUAGAAGUGGCCACUGCCAUUCUUCCCGCAACCAGACAACCUUCAGGGAUGACAGAGGGACGACCACUUGGUACUGGAUCACCCAUCAGGGGCUCAUCCCUGGGAAGACUAAUGUUUCCUCAGUUACUUGUUGACUGUUUACAGCUCUUCAUUUAGAGGUAGGGACCCAUGAGAUUUCCCCAAUUCAUGUUAGGAUAUCAACUGUUGUUGGAAUUACCCAGGUCUUGUUUAGGCAGUAUUAUUGUUGAGAUUUGAUGGGUAUGGUUUCCCUGACUAGUUAGAAGGCACAAUCUCAUGGCAGGUCCUCUCUGUCUCUGACUUUAAUAAAAGUGUUCUUCUGUUUCUA